rnacentral:rRNA from 1 species
AUUGAACGCUGGCGGCAGGCCUAACACAUGCAAGUCGAGCGAGCGGCGGACGGGUGUGUAAUGUAUGGGGAUCUGCCUGAUGGAGGGGGAUAACUACUGGAACCGGUAGCUAAUACCGCAUACCAUCAGAUGAACCCAUAUGGGAUUAGCUAGUAGGUGAGGUAACGGCUCACCUAGGCGACGAUCCCUAGCUGGUCUGAGAGGAUGAUCGGCCAAACUGGAACUGAGACACGGCCCAGACUCCUACGGGAGGCAGCAGUGGGGAAUAUUGCACAAUGGGCGCAAGCCUGACGCAGCCACGCCGCGUGUAUGAAGAAGGCCUUCGGGUUGUAAAGUACUGUUAGUCGGGAGGCGUUACCGACAGAAGAAGCACCGGCUAACUCCGUGCCAGCAGCCGCGGUAAUAC